CUUUUCCUAUGUGUUUGUUUUUAGGUUCUUGUCAAAAACACCCAGUGAACUUCACUGUAUUCACUGAUGGAAGCUUGCUCUUAACCUGGUAUCCCGUUAAGGCCUUUGCUACUAUGCAGGUAUUCCUUCAAGAGAGGAAGGUGGCUCCUACUGCGGCUGACCUCAGAGUUUUGCAAGUGUUCAGGUAUUAUUGUUGGGUGCUGAAAUGAUAGAAAUGACCAAGGCAAUUUGGAGGUGUAGAGGUAGAAUGAUACAUGGACCAGACACUUUUUUCACGGUGUGUUUUUCGAGUCAUGUCAAGACCUCACUGUGAGCUUACCAAUGAUAACAUGGGACGUUGCUGUUACCAAGGUAAGUGAUGUGGGCCUAAUCCAUAGCACAGAUCACCUGAUCUUCACAUACAGACAUAAGAGGUGAUGGGUAUCUCUAAUAUUUCUUUUUAACACACUUCUGGAUAGUAUUCAAAUCAUAGUGGUUAGAUUCCA